GAAGCAGCAGACUCCCCACUGAACAGAGAGCCUGACUCGGGGCUUAGGGGCUCAAAGGACUCAGGGAGCCCAGGGGCUCAAUCCCAGAACCCUAGGAUCAUGACCUGAGCUGGAGGCAGACGCUUAACCGACUGAGCCACCCAAGUGCCCCAAAACAAGACUUAUUUUCAUCUCUUGCCUAUUCUCUCCAACAUUCAGUUGACUGCAACUGCCAUCAGGAGACAGCCUUCUGCGAACGGUCUUACCGAGUCUUACAGGGUGGGCAAAACUGCCUGAAAACUGACCCUUAAAUACAUACAUUGAUACCAACUGAUGGCAGAACGAGGUACAAGAGAAGUUCAUUUCUCUGAAACAGAACUACAUGAUGAAGAUGCAAUCAGUCUUGAGGAAAGUCAAGUGUAUUCUAUUACUUUGAGGAUAUAUUUGCUGAAUUCUAUCAUGGGAAUAAAUUUAAACUUCCUUAAUCAUUUUGGUCAGUUCUAACCUUCACUAUUUUCAGAGAUGCCUGGUAUUUUAAAAUAAAACUUC